rnacentral:rRNA from 1 species
UACGGGGGGGGCAAGCGUUGUUCGGAAUUACUGGGCGUAAAGCGCGCGUAGGCGGAUCUGCAAGUCGGGGGUGAAAUCCCGAGGCUCAACCUCGGAACUGCCUUCGAUACUGCGGGUCUCGAGUCCGGGAGAGGUGAGUGGAAUUCCUAGUGUAGAGGUGAAAUUCGUAGAUAUUAGGAAGAACACCAGUGGCGAAGGCGGCUCACUGGCCCGGUACUGACGCUGAGGCGCGAAAGCUAGGGGAGCAAACGGG